rfam:Bacillus sp. SJS contig_10, whole genome shotgun sequence.
GGUAUGUAUUUCAUCCCCACGAUAAAGCCCCGGAAAGCUCAUCGUGUUUUGAAAUAAAAA